UGGGGAAUAUUGCACAAUGGGGGAAACCCUGAUGCAGCGACGCCGCGUGAACGAAGAAGGUAUUCGUAUCGUAAAGUUCUGUCCUAUGGGAAGAUAAUGACAGUACCAUAGAAGAAAGCUCCGGCUAAAUACGUGCCAGCAGCCGCGGUAAUACGUAUGGAGCGAGCGUUGUCCGGAAUUAUUGGGCGUAAAGGGUACGCAGGCGGUUUAAUAAGUCGAAUGGUAAAGAUCGGGGCUCAACCCCGCAAAGCAUUGGAAACUGAUAAACUUGAGUAGUGGAGAGGAAAGUGGAAUUCCUAGUGUAGUGGUGAAAUACGUAGAUAUUAGGAGGAAUACCAGUAGCGAAGGCGACUUUCUGGACACAAACUGACGCUGAGGUACGAAAGCGUGGGGAGCAAACAGG
rnacentral:rRNA from 1 species